rnacentral:misc_RNA from 1 species
ACAGCAUCAAGCAUCUGGUCCAUUUUUGGAAGGAGUUAAUGAAAAUCAACGGUCAAAAAAGACUCAGAAGUCAACUCCUACUACAUCUGA